rnacentral:piRNA from 1 species
UGGGAAACUCUCAAGGUUGAACGUAUCUCA